AUUGAACGCUGGCGGCAGGCCUAACACAUGCAAGUCGAGCGAGCGGCGGACGGGUGAGUAAUGUAUGGGAAUCUGCCUGAUGGCGGGGGAUAACUCCUGUAAACGGUAGCUAAUACCGCAUACCAUCAGCUGAACCCAUAUGGGAUGAGCUUGUAGGUGCGGUAACGGCUCACCUAGGCGACGAUCCCUAGCUGGUCUGAGAGGAUGAUCAGCAACACUGGGACUGAGACACGGCCCAGACUCCUACGGGAGGCAGCAGUGGGGAAUAUUUCACAAUGGGCGCAAGCCUGAUGCAGCCAUGCCGCGUGUAUGAAGAAGGCCUUCGGGUUGUAAAGUACUUUCAGUCGGGAGGCGUUACCGACAGAAGAAGCAUCGGCUAACUCCGUGCCAGCAGCCGCGGUAAUUC
rnacentral:rRNA from 1 species